rnacentral:rRNA from 1 species
CCUACGGGAGGCAGCAGUGAGGAAUAUUGGUCAAUGGACGCAAGUCUGAACCAGCCAUGCCGCGUGCAGGAAGACGGCUCUAUGAGUUGUAAACUGCUUUUGUACGAGGGUAAACGCAGAUACGCGUAUCUGUCUGAAAGUAUCGUACGAAUAAGGAUCGGCUAACUCUGUGCCAGCAGCAGCGGUAAUACGGAGGAUUCAAGCGUUAUCCGGAUUUAUUGGGUUUAAAGGGUGCGUAGGCGGGCGGAUAAGUUAGAGGUGAAAUCCCGAGGCUCAACUUCGGAAUUGCCUCUGAUACUGUUCGGCGAGAGAGUAGUUGCGGUAGGCGGAAUGUAUGGUGUAGCGGUGAAAUGCUUAGAGAUCAUACAGAACACCGAUUGCGAAGGCAGCUUACCAAGCUACUUCUGACGUUGAGGCACGAAAGCGUGGGGAGCAAACAGGAUUAGAUACCCCAGUAGUC